UUUAAUGUGCCUCUUGCCAGUGCCGGGCAACUCCCAGCUUUGUACUGGUUGGGUUUGGGUGGCUGGGUGGGGAGGGGCAGGAAUUCAUGUGUUGCUGUAGGUGGGUUGCCAUGUUCUUUCAGUGGUGGUAUAGGCCGGCUGGGUUCCAUAGGUAAUGAGGGUUUUGAUAGCUAAUUAUUUGCUUUAAUUCAUUUGUUGCAGCUAGCAUGGGCAGUGGCAGCCAUGGAUGUGUUCCUCUUGGAGCGGAGAGUACUCGUAAGUUUUGGGCAGUACAAGCGGUGCCUUAGUUUUGCCGGGUCUGUUUCCAUGCCUGCUGGUAUUCAGUGCACUGCAUCGUGGGGGUGGGAAUGUGUACUGUCCUCCUCUUGGGAGGAAGCCACCCACUGCUUUUUACUUUGUUUGUCAGCCGCCACAACCUGCCAGGAACGGCACCCCGCUCGCACUUCAGCAAAGCGCUGGAGAGAUUUUUUGCAGCAAGCAAUGACAGACCUGCAAAACCUCACUUGAGGUUUUGGCGGAGUCCUCAGUAGCCAGAGCAGAAAGCAAAGCUGCCUGACGGAACAAACUUCAUGACUCCCUGCAUAAGGACCGUGCCAUCCUUGAGGAAGUGUCACCUUCCACUGCUGGAUGCACUUCCUUUGGGUGUGACAAGAGGCAGAAAGAAGAAAGGAAGAGAAAGACAGAAAAUGAUGAAGAACAGAGAACAGAAUACUUCUUUCAGGAUUCAUUCUGCAUUCUAGUCAUAGCUGACUUUCAUCCUGCCUAAUAUAGAUUUAUAAUAUAACAACAGGUAAUACUAAUAGUAGGCAACUAUUAAUUCCAGUUGUCAUAUGUAAAUAAGAGUUUUUAAUGAUGAUUUAUUAAUGGUCAA